AGCAUGGCGAUUCUAUCUCUAUUCUUCCAAGAAACGACAAAGCUCUUUCUUUCCCACUCGACAUGUCUUCUACCCGAGCAUGGCGCGAGCUGUAGACUCGCGUUUCUAUCAAGAGAAAGACUUUCCAUAGCAACGGAUAAGUAGCUAGUGAUGGGUCGUUCUGCGAUGAAUUUACGUUUAGUUAGCCAAAAAAAAUGUGUCAAUGCACUAUUUUUCACGCAUGAACCUAUACAUAAACUCACGUAACUCAAAGUAACAACAAAACGUAUUCAUCGAACUUAUUUUUUAUCUGUGGAACUAAAAUGGUUCAUGUUUGUUUGUUUACAAAAAACGAUUAUUGUUGUUGAUUUUAAGUAUUUAAAUAUUGGUGAUUACUGCGUGCGGCAAGGAAAAACGUACGAAGUCCCAUCCAAUAAACAGAGAAGAUAGUAUCCCGAUCCAUUGGGAAAAGAAGGCCACGAUAAAGAAGAAUAGGUCCGUAUUCAAACGCUGCUGAAAAAAUAUGGAAAAGAACGAGUUCUUGGCAUACAAUGUUGACACGAGAAUCAUUCUAUUAAUUACAAAAAAAGGAUGCUAAAUGACAACUGGGUCGUCAGUUUACAAAUUAUAAAUUAUUGAAAUGAUAUCAUUUAAUAAAGAAUGUGAAUAUUAAAAUCAUAA
rnacentral:lncRNA from 1 species